GCUCUUCCGAUCUGACAGAGCAAGUCCUGGAGAUAAAGAUCCAACUCCCACAGCCACCCCCUCCUGCCCCUUCAGGAGUGAGUGGGGAGGUAUCACUUUCCUUUCAACAUUUAGACCAGGUUAUGACGUUCAGAGCACAAGAACCCUGCACAGAGGCUGGCUUCUCCCCGCGGGGCUUCACCACAUUCGAGAUUACGUGGUCUCGCUUGCUCUCCAGGGUUCACCCAUCCCAUCUCACACGGCAGACAUCCACUGUUCUCAAACUCUGGGCCAGGGGACCAAGGCCAGAGAGAGAGAACAAGCCUGAGUGCCUCUGCAGUGGGUCUGGACUGUGGAAUGUUCCAGGAUGCUUAAAAAAUACUGAUGCCUGGGUCCCACCCCCAGGAAUUCUGAUUUAAUUAAUUUAGGGUGCAUUCUAUGUAUCAGUGUUUUGAAAGCUCAGCAGGGGUUACUACUGUGCACUUGAGGCUGGGAGCCACUGCUGUCCCGCCCCCUCUGUUCUGGGAUAUUCUCUGAGGAUCCUUCUCUGAAUGGCUGACAGGCAGGGUGAACAACCGCCUCAGAGGCACCUCCAUUAAUCAGAUGCAUGAACUUGCCUUAGUAGCUAUCCAGGAAGGUCUUCAGGAACCCCACUGCAUGACUGCAAGAGAGAACCAGCCACUGCAGGCGAGGGGAGGACGGCCUGCACACGUGGAAUCAUUUUGGGAAGAAGUGGGAGGAUCACCAGGUCAGCACAGGGUUGAUUGUAGGCCUGUGUCUAGGGCAUGUUCCCUGGAAAUAAGAAAGCUUCUUGGAGCUGUACUGAGAGCAGCUUUCGACCAUGCUAAAUUCCUAUUAGCAUUUUUUAAAUGAACUAAUUUG